UCCCUUGAUGAUUGUGGCAACUCUCCACGGAACUUAUCUGACAAAAUUUGCCUACGAACCUAUUACCAAGGCUGAGGU
rnacentral:ncRNA from 2 species